UUUAUUCUUUCCUCUUCCCUAUCUUCGUUCUUUCUUUCUCUGUUCCAGGUUAAAUCUCUUUUUCAAAAUUUUCGGAUCAUUCAACUAAAGCAAAUAUAGAAGCUUAAUUCGGCUCCAUUUCGACUAGGUUUGAAGGCGAGUUGGUUCAUCAACAUCGACUCUUGAUCGCUACACAGAUCCGUCGAAUUGCAAGGAUCAAGGAGAUUAGAAGAACUAUGCUGAAGAUACAAACGCUUGGUGUUUCCAUCAUUCAAGAUUUGCAUCAGAACUGAGAAACUCUGCUACAUUCCCAUACGAAGCUCAUCCUAUGUAGAAACCAACUUUCAAGUGUUGAUGGAAUGUCUCCGCCAAGGACUUGGCUUGGGAGGAUCUUGGAACUAAAAGUUUAUUUGUUUUUCUUUUAUUGUAAAUAUCUUUUGUACAAGCCUCGGGCUUUUUAUUUAUUUUGGGCGUGAUCCACUUUUGUUGUAGCCAAGUAUUGUCUUGGAAAUAUGUAGCUGUUAAGGUAUGAACUUAUUCGAAUUUCCUUUCAUUUCUAUAUAUUGUCAUGUGUCAUAUGCUAUAGAUUUAGAUGUGGGGUUUAUAAAUGUGUAAUGCAUGUGGCACAUUUUGUAAUAUUUUCAACAGAAUUAAUGAAAGACUGAAACCUUGUUAGUUUUCUACAUAUUUAGUGUACCUUUUGAGAUUUUCUGAUGAUAUAAUAUAGGGGUGUUACAAAUUCGAUUCUUUGAAGUUUUUAUUGUUUUUCUAGCAUUAAUAAUGCUACAUGUAUGUACUCAUUUGUGUUUCUGCUAUAAAGUUGUAGCAAUAGCAAUGGUCAUUUCAUUAAUCAUUUGUAAUUGUUACGACAUAUUUGAAUAUUUUUUUUUGUAGUUGUACUACGCAAUAUAUUCAUAGUGGGCUUAUUCUUUUAAUGUAUAUUUUUUGUGAACAAUACUCAAUCAAGCAUUUUUUGAUGUAUGCUUCCUCUAAUGAACUAUUAUAAAAUUUCAAACAAAUUAUUAUCACUGAUUAGAUGUAUGUUGCCUUGUUGUGUUUUGAAAAUAUUACAUCAAUGUUAUUGUUAAAGAGAAAUAAGAGUAUGUUGCCUUGUUAUGUUUUGAAAGUAUUAAAUCAAUGUUAUUGUUAAAUAAAGAUAGAGGAAAGACAAGAAACGGGGUUGAUUUUUUUGAACAUUUAUCAUGUUCAAUGUAAAAGUUUUUUCUCUUUCCCAAAUUCAUUGAUUUAAAAUUCUUCAUUUCUCAUUGAUGACAACAUUUAUCUAGUAGAAUAACCAAUUACAACUCCUGUAAUGAGCAUUUGGUUUUGUGCCUAGCACUUAGCCACCUCACUAGUGUAUAUAUAAACCCUAAACCCUAGUAUCUUUGGAGCAAGCAUUGUGGUUGGGGUUGGUGUAGAAAUUCUCUUUUGACCGGCCUUAAGACUUGGACGCUCUAUUCCAAGCACCUGAUGAUGAAAGUUGCCAUGUGCAAUCUUUUGGAUCCCUCAACAGGAAACCAAAAUUCAAGCUUUAAUCCCAACCAUCACAGUCUAUACUUGUCUUGGCGAAAACCAUUUUUGACCCUCUUAAAACUGCUUUCAUAAAUUUUCUGGGUUGUGUAGUUUCAAACAUUUUUACAAUGUCCCAAGGCUCAUAUUUCAAACUUUAAUGUUGUCUCUUUUUUUUUUUUUAGUGGAUUGAGUAAAGGAUAGAGUGGGAGUAAGUGGAGGGGUGAAAUUCUCUGAAAAUACUUGUUUUUCCUGUCAAAUUAUGUUAGCUUUACACUUUUGAUCCAACAGUACAUUUUUUUCGCUGGCUGUAUAACUAUUGAUGGCUAGAUGAAAAAUGUGGUCGGCUGGAUAAAUAAUGGUACAACUGACUGAAUUGUUUGGGUAUAAAGCAUUUUCGAAAAUUUUGGCUUUUUUUGCGAAUUUUCUACAAAUAUCGUAGUUAUUUUCGUCCCAAAAGUCUAUAUAAGGACGUCUUAGCUUCAUCUUUGGGGGUAACCAAAUUUUAAAAGGCCAAGAGACUUGCUUUGAGAGCUCAUCACCCUACUUUAUCUCUAGCCUCCAUUCUUCACACAGAUAUCACUCAAACUCUAUUAAAGCUUAGCUUGACACACCUUGCUGAGGAUUCUAAGGACUCUAAGCCAUACCAGAAGACCUUGAGGGUGCUAAGAAACAAUUUGACAACCAAAAAGCUCACCCUCUUUUCAAGAAGUGAACUUUUGACCUCUUCAUUCAACUUUUCUCUCUCUUACUCCCUUUCAAGUUUUGUAUAUUAUUGUUUUAUGUUGUAAUCACAUGAUGGGUCCUCAUGGAUGUGGUUGGCAAUAGAAUAUAGCCACCCAUUCAUUGAGUUGAUUACUUUUCUUACUUGCUUGCACUCUUACAUGCUUGUUCUUGCUUGGUAGUGUUAUAAUCCAUUGUUGUUGUAUAUAGGCAUGUAAAAUGGAACCUUAUGGAUGUGGUUGGGAGUUAGAAAGUAGCCACUCAUCCAUAAGUUUGAUUAUAUAGUGUAAUUUUUUUCUUUUUCAUUCACUUUCUUAUCAUCUUCCUCAUCAUCUAAGCAUAUGGGGUUCAUAUGUUUCAAUCCAUACUCAAUUCUAAUGAAUAGUUGUGGUUGGGGCAUGGAACUAGUUGGAUGAUUCUUAAGAUUUGGUGUUGAGAGGGUUGUCAGUUUUUAUUUUUGUUGUGGUUCACUUGGAAGUAAAGUAAGAGGUUUUUUGUCAAAGAUGUUAAAAACUCUCUUCUUAAUCUGUCUACAUGAAAAGGAGUGGAAACACCCUUAUUCCAUGGCCCUUUGUGUUGUUAAUUGUGGGUUAAGGCCUCUCUGCCUCUUUCUUGAGUUUGUCUGUGAGGGGAAGAAGUAGAAAUGAUGAGCACCCUUUUGAAAGGUGUUACUGUUCUUAUUUGGCUUUGCUACAUAAAACAUAUUUUCCUUUGGAUCUUUCAUCCGGCCGGAUAAGAAACAAUACGGCCCGCAAAACUAUAGCGAUCCCGGUUUUUCCCUCCAUUGGUUAUUGUAUUCCGGACUAGGUUCCAUGGAUGUCGGUUGUUGUAUAUGUUUCA